AAAAGUUUUCUCUCAACAUUUCUUCCCUUUCUUCCUUUCUCAAUCUCAUCACUUUCUCCCCUCUCUUCUCUGAUCAAUCGCCAUCCCCACCAUCACAGCCAUCUCUCAUUCCCAGCUCAUGCUCGUUCAUCGUCGUAUUUCUUGUAUCAUUUAAAAAAUCUUCAUUCUUUUACUUUGCAUCAAGAAAAAAAAUCACAUUCAAUCUCGCAAGUCUCUCGUCUCCCAGCACUCUCCAUAUCUCAGCGUCGCCCAGCCAUAGCUUGCACCUCCGUCCCACGUUACGGUGAUCCAUUUUCCAUCUCUACCUCUCUAUGUUGUUAGAUUUGGAAUUUGAAGGUUUUCUACGAGCUGUCCAGCGAGGGUAAAAGUUGUUUCGGGUGAUUUUUGGAUAAGUACUGUAAAUUGAGUUUGAUUUUAGCGAGUUGAAACGAAGGACAGAUUUGUUAGGGCAAAGAUUUUGUAGUUAAAACUAUUGAGAGACAAUCUACACAAAUUACGAUUUUGUUAGUGGGGUGGAUAUGACAAUUAAAACAUUAAUUUUGACCUUCAAAAUUGGGUAUGUCGAUAUUUCUAUUCUUUUCAUUGAUGAUAUCCUUAUUUUUCUUGUCCAGUUUUAUUCAAUUUUUUCUGGGUUCUUUGAGAUUUUAGGGCAAUUGAUUUAAUUUGGGUAGUUGGAAUUCAUAAUGUUUUUGAUUAAUUUUGAAAAUUGGAAUUAACUAUGGGAGAAAAUGUCUACUUAUGAGGACAUAGGAGAAAGCAGAGGAAAAAAAAAAGCCCUAAUCUUUGUCUUCUACCCCUCUUCUCUCAUUUGUGCUUUUGUGAACUAUAUCGACUUGUGUUUGUUUGGUUGUAGCCUUUUAACUUUGUGAGAAGCUCUCCCAAUAUGUUUACUACACUUGGAAAUUAUAAGUUUCAUAAAUCAUAAAAUUUUUCAAUUAAUGACCUUUAAUGGUUAAGAUUUCUGUAUUUGAAGUCUAAUUUUUUUUUGUCCUAUUAGUUAUAGUGUUGUUUAGGAUAUUUACAUAGUGACUAGACUUCUAACAAUGUUUUUUAAUUAGCAUAUUGAGUUUAGUGGUCUAGCAACGUUUUUACAGGGAGGAGGAAGGAAACCAUGGAAUAGUGUCAACUUAUUUGUGCACACGAUGGUUUCACUUUGGCUGAUUUAGUGACUGAUAAUAGUAAACAUAAUUUAGCAAAUGGUGAAGACAAAAAUGAUAGUGAAAAUCAUAAUAAUAGUUCUAACUAUUGAAUUCUGUCUCUCUUUAAAAUUCUCUGCAAUUUAUUUCUUCCAUAAACUUCAAUUUCAAAGCCCCCUUGGUUACUUAGAAUUGUAAACAAUUUAAUUUCAAAGCUACCAGUACUACAAUUUAAUUUGGUGUAGAAUCAAGUGAAAAUUUCCCACCGUUGAUGUGUUUUUCUCUAAGUGUUUUGAUUUUAUAUGUAUGUUAGAAAUCCAUAAGGGACCCAUGAUCAAUUAGCAAAAAUCAAUGUGUUUAUAUGUGAGGGUUCUUGAACAUUUAUCUAGAUGCACCAUCUACAUUUUGUUUUUGUUUUGUGUAGGAUUACUUGGGAUUUGGAAUCAAUGUAACUACAGAUUUUUGUUCUUCCAUUGGGAAUGAUUGAAGUCAUCAGAUUGAAAGCUAAGCAAUUGUGUAGAUAGCGAGGCGAUCGUUGAAGGUUGAAGACUGAGAAGACGUUUAGGAUUUCUUAUUUAAGUCUUGUAUUAGGAUCUUGUUUCAUGUACUAUUGUAGAAUGUAUACAUAAACACAAUAUUAAGUUUUCAUUUUGUGUAUACAAAUUUAAAAGAAUAAAUAUUAUAGUUUCUAAAAUAAUAUUAAUUUUAUUAA